UUAGACAGAGGUCUUGUGUGGCUACCCUAA
rnacentral:piRNA from 1 species